CGUAGUAAUUCUAGGGCUAAUACAUGAGAAAGUCCUCUGGUGAGGUGUGUUUAUUAGAAUGAAAACCAUAUGCUUCGGCAUGAUAGUGAGUAAUAGUAACCUAUCGUAUCGCAUGCUUAAUGUAGCGAUGAGUCUUUCAAGUUUCUGCCCUAUCAGCUUUCGAUGGUAGUAUAUGGGCCUACCAUGGCAGUAACGGGUAA
rnacentral:rRNA from 1 species